ACGUUGAAACACAAGUUCCCGUAAGAUCGACGAAGUUAAACAAUGUUGAGCUUGGCCAGUACCUAGAUGGGUGACAGCUUGAGAAUACCAGGAG